GAAAAGAAUUUAAGUCCAACCUAAAGUAAUCUCGAUUCACAUAAAUCACCAUACCACUUCAGAGCAAUUCAAAUGAGGUACAGCCCAUUUGAUACAGGAUACAACCUUAACUAACGGGUAACAUUAAAUCUACACCUUCAAGUAGGCCUAAGAGCAGCCACCAUUAAAAAGCGUCAAAGCUUAAUCAUGUUUUCAUCAAUUUAAAAUCCCCCAUUGACCCCUUUAACUUUACUGAGAAUUUCUAUAUCAUAUAGAACAUUUUAUGCUAAAACUAGUAACAAGAGAAAACCCUCUCCCAAUGCAAACAUAAGCCAGCAAGAACCCAUCACUGGCAACUAACAGACCUAGACAAAAGUAACAAAAUCACUAGAAAACCCUACUUCUCACAACUGUUAACCUAACACUAGAGCAUUUCAGGAAAGAUUAAAAGAAAAAGAAGGAACUCGGCAAACACUAAUCCCGCCUGUUUACCAAAAACAUCGCCUCUUGUCCCUAUAAGAGGUCAAGCCUGCCCAGUGACUUUGUUCAACGGCCGCGGUAUCCUAACCGUGCGAAGGUAGCGUAAUCACUUGUUUUCUAAAUAAAGACCAGUAUGAAAGGCAUCACGAGGAUUAAACUGUCUCCUUUUUCCAAUCAGUGAACCUAAUCUCCCCGUGAAGAAGCGGGGAUUAUUUUAUAAG
rnacentral:rRNA from 1 species